rnacentral:misc_RNA from 1 species
UUGGUUAAAAUAAUUGCAAAAUAAAAUGUCUGCCUAUCAGACCAAUAAUUUUUUUUUUACUAAAUUGGAAAAUAUUAUUAUGAAGGUUGAUUAGGCCUUUAUUUCAAAAGACAAAUACUUAUGGGUAACAACUCAGUUCAAGCAUUCUAUGCGUUAUACAAAUAGUGCAUUAUAUGAGCUCUACCAACACAAAUUAGCAAAUUUCCCUUCUGCAAAUGUUUCUUCUUAACAUUUCAAUCAGCUUCAGACAAAACAUGUUAUGUCAGUCAACAGUCUCAUAAAUCAAUGAGGUAGCAUGGAGAUGAAGAAGCUCGACGUCAAAAUCACUCCAUUCUUACACUAAGGUCUCCAAGUACUCACUGAUUGUAGUGUAUUUUAUAUGUGGAUAUAGUUGUGUCCCAUCUACCCCUCCAGAAGACUCGAUAUCAAAGUAUGUGUGAUCUCCUUUUACAAAGACAGAGUAUAUAAAGACCAGAGUCAUGUUGUCUGGAUAUGGAGUCUCUGCAAUGCAAUCAUAUGAAAAUCAGAUUGAUUGUCUGGAAAUGAGUCUCUGCAAUGCAAUAAGCUACUGGAUCUGGGUAACAUAAAGAAACCAAAUAAACCAGAAAAGGGUGAUAAGAACACAGCACAUUCUAUUGGAUCUCUUGGUCCAGACUAGGACCAGAAAUUUACUUCUCUGCAUAAACUAUGAGCAAGUCCUCAUCUUGUGCAUCUACAAGGUUAAUACAAAGAUUCUAAGCACACAGAGUGUCAUGGAAAAUGGGAUCAAAGUAAAAUACUUCUAAAUAGAGCAAACAUCCUUUUGCUUUCCUAUAGGCUAUAGCAACAUUCAAACUUACCCUGUAUUUUCAUAUUUUCGGUUCAAGUAGUUAUCAUCACAUAGUCACAUCUAGUUUUGAUGGCCAUUACAUGCAACUUAGACGUAAUUAAUCUUGACAGUAAUUUUUCAUGUUUACUAAAUUCAUUAGCUCAAAAAUAAAAAGAUGCUCUAGCCUGUAGGUGAUUGUUAUAAAUAUAAAGAAUUUAAAUACCUUUAAUUCUUUUAAGAAGUUGGUCUUCUGGUACAUAAAUCCUGUCAAGCUUUUUCCCAAUCUUAGACUCCCAGAUCUCAACCAGCUCAUUUAAUGAAUAGACAUUUCCUGAAGGCCUCAAAUACAACACCUUGUUCAAUGUACGUGGAUCAUCUAUUGCACAAAUGGUGAAGGCAGCAACAUCUUCCACCUUCACAAAGACAGCUGCAGAUAAACUGCAUCUAUUAGGAUUCCAAAGGUAAGAACUUCCAAAAAAGCCACAUCAACAAUAUAUUGCUUAGUUGAAACUCGAGCAGCAGACCUUUAACAUUCCCAUUUCCAAACACUGUGAUCUUGUCCCUGGGUGGAGUCUUUAAACCAGGUUGAAUUAGUGAUGGAAGUAAAUAACUCAUGAGGAGGUUGCAGCAGAUGUAAGUAUAGGGAAUGUCUUCAGCUUCUAUAAGAUGUCGAAUCUCAGAUUUCAUUGAAUAAAAGUUUUGAUCCAUGUCGGAUAUUUGGACUUUAUCUGGAUCUGCUCCAAAUUCAGAUGGAAUGAACUUCUGUAACAAUACACACAUUCAACUAUUUAAAAGAGGGAACCAAUCUUUGAUUGAGGAGUCUUUUAUUCUUGUAUGGUAGAAUGUUGAUUCAUAAUUGGUAUACACAGCAUUGCAUACAGAGGGAUGCUAAUUAACAAAUUCCUAAUUUAUUUCACAGAUAAUGUUCUUUCAUACUUAGUCUGCAUUGGAUGGAUGGAUCUUGUCAGUAUGUUUCAACAAAGCAGAUGUAACCAGCAAAAUGAUACACUUUCAACCAUAAUAUUGAACAAAAACCAGGCCCAGGAUCCCACUCAGGAUAUAGAGAAAAGAGUACAAGUAUGACAUCUGCAUACCAGCAAACUAUAUGCCUGCCUUUCCCUAACAAUUGAAGAAUAAGAAUGCAGGUGAUGUACAUUUUGAUCAAUUACAAGAAUGGGUAUAGGCCCAUGUAAGAUUGAAUAAAACCAUUUUCAUUAUAAUGAAAACCUAGAAAGAUCAAUGACAAGGAUUGAUGCCCAUAUUCAAGCAAAUUUCUUACAAAACCAAAAAUUGUACCGGUUUCUACCAUUAGCCUACGCUUUCAGGUAUCAUUUGUUUAAAAUUUAGAAUGAAUGCUACACUUAUCAAACUUUUGGAAAAAGAAAAUACGAAGUAGAGAUUGCAGUUAUCAAAUUUGUGAAAAAGGUUGCUUCUUAUCAUUAGUGCCAGUUGAAAUUUUCCAUCAGAGAUUUUGGCCAAAGACCAACGUUUCCAAUAAGUGGUAACGGGAAACACCAGUACUAACAUUUGCACCCAAGUUCCAACUUCCACGAGCUGUCAACAAAUGCAGAAAAAACUUCCCUAGCCCCUUCAUUUGGGUUUUCCUAUCUAAAAUCGAGUAUAAGAGGUCUGCACUGCAGUUUAUGUACUGACAUGUAAACCACAGUGAAAAAGGGUAUCCUGUGAAAAAACCCUCAUCACCCUCGACAUGCAGAUAAGAAUAAUUAUAACAACCUCGAUGCAUCCAGCUUCUUUGAUAGCUUUGAUAAGAAGCCUCUGAUCAAGAACCUGUUUGGAUGGAAUUGAACAUAUCACCACAUCCACUAGCUUCAAUGCCUCAACUAGAUUCUCCGCAUCCUCCAAACAACCCUUGAGGACUGUGGCACCAGCAUCAGAAAGGGAAUUUAGUUUUUGUAGUUUGACAGGGUCAUUGAAAGCAGAGUCCCUAACAAGAAUAAAAGUUGGGUGAUUGAAUUUGAUGCUAAACUGUGCCAAAUGAUAUCCUAAAUUUCCAGUUGCUCCAAUUAUCAGUACUUUGCUCUUCUUCUCCAUUUCUUCCUCUUGUCGGCGUCUAGUUUCAGUUUUCCAAAACCCUCACGGG